rnacentral:rRNA from 1 species
UUUCGCAAUGCCCGAAAGGGUGACGAAGCGACGCCGCGUGGGUGAGGAAGGCCUUCGGGUUGUAAAGCCCUGUCAGGAGUUAAGAAAUGUAGGUGCGCUAAUAUCGUGCCUAUUUGACAAAGGCUCCAAAGGAAGCCACGGCUAACUCUGUGCCAGCAGCCGCGGUAAUACAGAGGUGGCAAGCGUUGUUCGGAAUUAUUGGGCGUAAAGAGCACGUAGGUGGGUUUGUCAGUCAGAUGUGAAAGCCUUCUGUUCAACGGGAGAAUUGCAUCUGAAACUACAGAUCUUGAGUAUAGGAGGGGAGAAUGGAACUUCUGGUGGAGCGGUGAAAUGCGUAGAUAUCAGAAGGAACGCCGGCGGCGAAAGCGAUUCUCUGGCCUAUUACUGACACUCAGUGUGCGAAAGCUAGGGGAGCAAACGGGAUUAGAUACCCCGGUAGUCCUAGCCGUAAACGAUGGGCACUAAGUAGAGGGGUUUUA